CGAGGGUGCAAGCGUUAAUCGGAAUUACUGGGCGUAAAGCGAGUGUAGGCGGCUACUUAAGUCGGAUGUGAAAUCCCCGGGCUCAACCUGGGAAUUGCAUUCGAUACUGGGUAGCUAGAGUUUGGUAGAGGUAAGUGGAAUUCCGGGUGUAGCGGUGAAAUGCGUAGAUAUCCGGAGGAACAUCAGUGGCGAAGGCGGCUUACUGGACCAAAACUGACGCUGAGGCUCGAAAGCGUGGGGAGCAAACAGGAUUAGAUACCCGAGUAGUCC
rnacentral:rRNA from 1 species